rnacentral:rRNA from 1 species
GGAUCCAGACUUUGAUCAUGCUCAGGAUGAACGCUAGCUACAGGCUUAACACAUGCAAGUCGAGGGGCAGCAUGUCGGUUGCUUGCAACCGAUGAUGGCGACCGGCGCACGGGUGAGUAACGCGUAUCCAACCUACCCUUGUCCAUCGGAUAACCCGUCGAAAGGCGGCCUAACACGAUAUGCGGUUCACCGCAGGCAUCUAACGUGAACGAAAUGUGAAGGAGAAGGAUGGGGGUGCGUCUGAUUAGCUUGUUGGCGGGGUAACGGCCCACCAAGGCGACGAUCAGUAGGGGUUCUGAGAGGAAGGUCCCCCACAUUGGAACUGAGACACGGUCCAAACUCCUACGGGAGGCAGCAGUGAGGAAUAUUGGUCAAUGGACGAGAGUCUGAACCAGCCAAGUAGCGUGCAGGAUGACGGCCCUAUGGGUUGUAAACUGCUUUUAUAGGGGGAUAAAGUGUGCCACGUGUGGCAUAUUGCAGGUACCCUAUGAAUAAGGACCGGCUAAUUCCGUGCCAGCAGCCGCGGUAAUACGGAAGGUCCGGGCGUUAUCCGGAUUUAUUGGGUUUAAAGGGAGCGUAGGCCGCCUUAUAAGCGUGUUGUGAAAUGUCGGGGCUCAACCUGGGCAUUGCAGCGCGAACUGUGAGACUUGAGUGCGCAGGAAGUAGGCGGAAUUCGUCGUGUAGCGGUGAAAUGCUUAGAUAUGACGAAGAACUCCGAUUGCGAAGGCAGCCUGCUGUAGCGCAACUGACGCUGAAGCUCGAAAGCGUGGGUAACGAACAGGAUUAGAUACCCUGGUAGUCCACGCGGUAAACGAUGGAUGCUCGCUGUUUGCGUCUGACGUAAGCGGCCAAGCGAAAGCGUUAAGCAUCCCACCUGGGGAGUACGCCGGCAACGGUGCAACUCAAAUGAAUUGACGG